rnacentral:rRNA from 1 species
GAUGAACGCUGGCGGCGUGCCUAAUACAUGCAAGUCGAACGAACAGACGAUGAGCUUGCGCCGCGGACGUGAGCGGCGGACGUGUGAGUAACACGUGUAUAACCUACCUAUAAUACGGGGAUAACUUCGGGAAACCGGAGAUAAUACCGUAGAAUAUAUUGAAGCGCGGGGGGCGAUGGUGAAAUACGGUGUUGCUGGCUCUUAUAGAUGGAUCUGGGCCGCAUUAGAUAGUUGGGAAGGUAACGGCUUACCAAGGCAACGAUGCGUAGACGACCUGAGAGAGUGAUAGGCGACACUGGAACUGAGCCACGGUCCAGACUCCUACGGGAGGCAGCAGACGCGAACCUGACGCAGUGGGCGAAAGCCUGACGGAGCAAGGCGGAGUCAGUGAUGAAGACCUUCGGAUCGUAAAACUCUGUUAUUAGGGAUGAACAAAUGUGUCAGGAACUAUGGCCGUAUUGACGGUAACUAAUAAGAAAGCACCGGCUAACUACGUG